GAGUUUGAUCUUGGCUCAGGAUGAACGCUGGCGGCGUGCCUAACACAUGCAAGUCGAACGGAGUUCUUAAGGAAUGCGGCUUCGGCCAAAUGACUUUUGAACUUAGUGGCGGACGGGUGAGUAACGCGUGAGCAACCUGCCUUUCAGAGGGGGAGUAACAUUUGGAAACAGAUGCUAAUACCGCAUAAGAUUACAGUACCGCAUGAUACAGUGAUCAAAGGAGCAAUCCGCUGAAAGAUGGGCUCGCGUCCGAUUAGAUAGUUGGUGAGGUAACGGCUCGCCAAGUCGACGAUCGGUAGCCGGACUGAGAGGUUGAACGGCCACAUUGGGACUGAGACACGGCCCAGACUCCUACGGGAGGCAGCAGUGGGGAAUAUUGUCGAC
rnacentral:rRNA from 1 species